rnacentral:lncRNA from 1 species
CUGUGACUCUUCAGGCUACAAUAACCUGCAAGCUUCUUUGCUGUUCAAUUCUCGAUGCAUGCUCAUCAUGUUCUAAUUUAAACGCCAUCUCCUCCUCCUGAGGCCCCUCCUGAGGCCCCUCCUGGCCCUGCAGCUGGAGUCCAGGGCUAGUCCCCCACUCUGCUUUCCUCCUAGCACGGCCUGUUCCUGUCUGCCUUCCACAGCGGGCGCUGAAGAAGCACGGAGAAUCUCCCCUGGCCCCUGUUCUCACCCUCACUGCAUGUUCCAGGAGAUCCUGUGACCUCAGUCAAAGCUGGGGGCAGUUUUCGAAGGAGGCUUUUCUCUCCAAUUCUUCAGCUUAUUGUUUCAGGGCAUAGCAUCCCUGCAUAAAUGAACAAUUUUAUUUUCAACUAAAGGUUUUGUCCCAUCAUAAAACAUUUUCACCAUGAGUCAAGGUAACAUUCUGAUUUUUUUUUAAUGGAAAGAAGUAACAGGGAAUGAAACAUACAAAGCCAGAAGAGGUUUGGAAUUUGAAUGGAAUCCAGGUGAUUGAUAAAGCAGGGGUGUUGCUUCAUGUCAACCGCCCACUUACCGAACUGGAAAAACAGUAGGCAAUUCAUUGAGGGAUGAUUUUACAGACCUACACAGAGAUGGAAAUUGACUGCAGAAAAGAUUUUGGAAGGCUCACCUCAGCCUCUUUCUGGAGAACCGUGUUGAUCAAGCGUGCAAUCACAAACGCAGGCAUCCUUCCACCGUGGUGAGGAGGCGACUGUGGGCUGUGUCACAACCCUGAUCUGCCUUUCUCCUGAUGCCCACAGACGUUUGAGAAGCAUCGCUGCUGCCGUGGAGCACACGGAGUCAGUGAGCUGGGGCUGAGGCUUCCUUAUUCCCUGCAGGUGUCUCCUGUGAUGCUGCGUGCUGGAGAGAACCCAAGGUCAGUUACCCUUAGAGCUCCUCCUACGAUCCAGUCCGCGUGAUCCUUUGAAUAAUUGCCUUCUGCUGUUUACCGACAGAUUCUCUAUUCCUAGAACAGGAGCUAACACUCCAUAACCGUUAUCUGUAUCAUUGUGGUAAGUAAAGUUCUCUGACAAGUUCCUCAUGUGUGGAACAAGAGUAACACCCAAUGAGCUGCCUGAAGGAUUCAGUGUCUUGGUGUUCACAAGGCCCCAGCACAUCGUCUAGGACGUGAGACCCACACGCCGCCCUCAGUCUCCUCAGUUCACUGUUUCCCCCGGGGAAACAACCGCCAGGGCCUGUAGGAAAACACAGCAAACUAGAAAGUCCAGUUGGAAGAGAUUUCAGAUGUGCUACAGCCUCCACGGCAGGAGUGAAGCUGGACCUCCAGGCUCCUGAUGACACUGAGGAUUGUGGAGCUGAGUGACACCAGCCGGCAGGAGAGGCCAUGGCAGGAAGUGGAGCCUCCCACCGAACUCCAGGGAGCACCAGCGACUGAGAGGCCACAUGGCGGGCGGCUGUGGGUUGGGGGGGCUGCCUGCCCGCACACUCUUUACGGCAGAAGCAGUGACAUUUCCCUUGCUGUGCCCAUGGCAGGGACGGGCCCGUGGCAGGUGCUGUGAGCAUGUGCUUGCCAAGUUCCUGAUGCGGAGCCCAGCCAGCCCAGAGGGCCACAUUCUUGUCACUGCUUCUUGGAGCCGCAGCUCAUGCCAAGUUCCUCACACCCCUCUCUGGGCUCUAACUUUGUGCUGCCUCAGAUGUUCAGGGUACUUUGCUUCAAGCCAUAUCAAAAGCUGGUUUGAAAAAUAAAGUCCUACAGAGGUGCUAACUGAAUAAGAAAAGAACAGUGCGUUCUGGCCAUUCUGGGACCUAAGCAGGGGCCAGCCAGACCUCAGCAUCCUUCACAUCUGUCCUGCUGGCCACGGUGUCUGGGGAGAGCUGUGCCACCCCCCUGCUCUGAUCACACCUACCUUCUCCGGGGGACUGGCUGGUGCCCAGGGUGGGAAAUGAAACAUGUCUUCAAUUGUUGAGGAUUCACUACACAUUUCUGUGUACUUCAGCAAAAACUCA